ACCGGGAUGGCCGAGUGGUUAUGGCGUUGGACUUAAGUUCCAAUGGACAAAAGUCCUCGUGGGUUCAAACCCCACUCCUGGUA
rnacentral:tRNA from 1 species